rnacentral:rRNA from 1 species
AGAGUUUGAUCAUGGCUCAGGAGUGAACGCUGGCGGCAGGCCUAAUACAUGCAAGUGAACGGCAGCACAGCAGAGCUUGCUCUGUGGGUGGCGAGUGGCGGACGGGUGAGGAAUACGUGGGAAUCUGCCCAGUCGUGGGGGAUAACGUAGGGAAACUUACGCUAAUACCGCAUGCCGCCCUUCGGGGGGAAAGCCGGGGACCUUCGGGCCUGGCGCGAUUGGAUGAGCCCACGUCGGAUUAGCUAGUUGGCGGGGUAAAGGCCCACCAAGGCGACGAUCCGUAGCUGGGUCUGAGAGGAUGAUCAGCCACACUGGAACUGAGACACGGUCCAGACUCCUACGGGAGGCAGCAGUAGGGAAUAUUGGACAAUGGGCGCAAGCCUGAUCCAGCCAUGCCGCGUGAGUGAAGAAGGCCCUCGGGUUGUAAAGCUCUUUUGUCCGGAAAGAAAAGCGCCGGGUUAAUACCCUGGUGUCCUGACGGUACCGGAAGAAUAAGCACCGGCUAACUUCGUG